UUUCCCUGCAAGUGGUAAUGUUUUGGGUUUACUGCCUUUAGCCACAGAGGUUACUCUGGAGUGCUCCAGUCUGUAAUGUAGACAGCUGGGAGUAUAUUACUGUAGGAUUAAAAACUCUUACUAACACUGCAUGAAUGUUACAGGUUUCAACCUUCCAGCCACAGUUUGACCUUUACCAGAAUAACUUGUGGGCCAUACGGCAAAAGGCACUGAUCACUUCCAGCAAACGAUCCAGAAGUCAGAAGCACAAUACACUUGGACAAUAGCUCCUCUCUAGUUAUUCUGGGGAACUGCCUCUCUACUCAUACAGGGAGACUGCAUCUCUGCUUAUACUGAAGACAGGGCCAAUGCAGUUAAAAGACCACACAGAUAUCAGCGUUAAAAAAGGAUGAGCUGGCACCAGCUAUUAGGACCCUAAAGUGCCUUUCAAGCCUGAUCCAUCCAAGUGAAACGUGCUGAGUGUGCCCAUCAGAAAGAGAAAUCACAGAUGGUCUCAUUCAUUCCCCCAGAGCAACUCUUGAACCCCCAGGACUAUAAACCAUGCACGUGUUAUUGGUUUAUUCUUCUCUGGGUCCAUUAAGUGGAUGCCACUGGUGUGUCAGCUGUAAUUGGAGACUGGGCUAGUGAGAUCCUGUGUCACAGGCUGUGGGUAAUGCCUUAUAGGAAAGUCUGCCCUGAGCCACAUGUUUAACCUAAGCAUUUCCGUGAAUUAUUUACAACCCUGAAGAUCUCCUGUGCAUGAGACAUCUCACCUAAUGGUCCAUGGGAAAUCUAACUGCACAUCUUUCCCUGUUCUUGCUGCUCUAUCUGUCUUGUCUUACACAAUUCUUUCUCUUCAUAGAGUGUCUCAUACUCUCCUAAAUAUUUACCCAGAAACAGAAUCACCAGAGCCAAACCCUUCCCUGGGCUGAACAUCACUCUUGCAACUCACAGACCUAACUAAGAACUAUCCUAUACGCUGCAAUCUUUGCGACUCCUAAGUCUCUGUUAUUAAGUUAAUUUGUGCUGCAUUAAA